UUAAGCGACUAAGCGUACACGGUGGAUGCCCUGGCAGUCAGAGGCGAUGAAGGACGUGCUAAUCUGCGAUAAGCGUCGGUGAGGUGAUAUGAACCGUUAUAACCGGCGAUUUCCGAAUGGGGAAACCCAGUGUGUUUCGACACACUAUCAUUAACUGAAUCCAUAGGUUAAUGAGGCGAACCGGGGGAACUGAAACAUCUAAGUACCCCGAGGAAAAGAAAUCAACCGAGAUUCCCCCAGUAGCGGCGAGCGAACGGGGAGGAGCCCAGAGCCUGAAUCAGUGUGUGUGUUAGUGGAAGCGUCUGGAAAGGCGUGCGAUACAGGGUGACAGCCCCGUACACAAAAAUGCACAUAUUGUGAGCUCGAUGAGUAGGGCGGGACACGUGGUAUCCUGUCUGAAUAUGGGGGGACCAUCCUCCAAGGCUAAAUACUCCUGACUGACCGAUAGUGAACCAGUACCGUGAGGGAAAGGCGAAAAGAACCCCGGCGAGGGGAGUGAAAAAGAACCUGAAACCGUGUACGUACAAGCAGUGGGAGCCUCUUAAUGGGGUGACUGCGUACCUUUUGUAUAAUGGGUCAGCGACUUAUAUUCUGUAGCAAGGUUAACCGAAUAGGGGAGCCGAAGGGAAACCGAGUCUUAACUGGGCGUUAAGUUGCAGGGUAUAGACCCGAAACCCGGUGAUCUAGCCAUGGGCAGGUUGAAGGUUGGGUAACACUAACUGGAGGACCGAACCGACUAAUGUUGAAAAAUUAGCGGAUGACUUGUGGCUGGGGGUGAAAGGCCAAUCAAACCGGGAGAUAGCUGGUUCUCCCCGAAAGCUAUUUAGGUAGCGCCUCGUGAAUUCAUCUCCGGGGGUAGAGCACUGUUUCGGCAAGGGGGUCAUCCCGACUUACCAACCCGAUGCAAACUGCGAAUACCGGAGAAUGUUAUCACGGGAGACACACGGCGGGUGCUAACGUCCGUCGUGAAGAGGGAAACAACCCAGACCGCCAGCUAAGGUCCCAAAGUCAUGGUUAAGUGGGAAACGAUGUGGGAAGGCCCAGACAGCCAGGAUGUUGGCUUAGAAGCAGCCAUCAUUUAAAGAAAGCGUAAUAGCUCACUGGUCGAGUCGGCCUGCGCGGAAGAUGUAACGGGGCUAAACCAUGCACCGAAGCUGCGGCAGCGACACUAUGUGUUGUUGGGUAGGGGAGCGUUCUGUAAGCCUGUGAAGGUGGCCUGUGAGGGUUGCUGGAGGUAUCAGAAGUGCGAAUGCUGACAUAAGUAACGAUAAAGCGGGUGAAAAGCCCGCUCGCCGGAAGACCAAGGGUUCCUGUCCAACGUUAAUCGGGGCAGGGUGAGUCGACCCCUAAGGCGAGGCCGAAAGGCGUAGUCGAUGGGAAACAGGUUAAUAUUCCUGUACUUGGUGUUACUGCGAAGGGGGGACGGAGAAGGCUAUGUUGGCCGGGCGACGGUUGUCCCGGUUUAAGCGUGUAGGCUGGUUUUCCAGGCAAAUCCGGAAAACCAAGGCUGAGGCGUGAUGACGAGGCACUACGGUGCUGAAGCGACAAAUGCCCUGCUUCCAGGAAAAGCCUCUAAGCAUCAGGUAACAUCAAAUCGUACCCAAAACCGACACAGGUGGUCAGGUAGAGAAUACCAAGGCGCUUGAGAGAACUCGGGUGAAGGAACUAGGCAAAAUGGUGCCGUAACUUCGGGAGAAGGCACGCUGAUAUGUAGGUGAAGCGACUUGCUCGUGGAGCUGAAAUCAGUCGAAGAUACCAGCUGGCUGCAACUGUUUAUUAAAAACACAGCACUGUGCAAACACGAAAGUGGACGUAUACGGUGUGACGCCUGCCCGGUGCCGGAAGGUUAAUUGAUGGGGUUAGCGGUAACGCGAAGCUCUUGAUCGAAGCCCCGGUAAACGGCGGCCGUAACUAUAACGGUCCUAAGGUAGCGAAAUUCCUUGUCGGGU
rnacentral:rRNA from 1 species